CUGAACGCUGGCGGCGUGGCUAAGACAUGCAAGUCGUACGGGCCUAGCAAUAGGUCAGUGGCGAAAGGGUGAGUAAUGUAUCGCUAAUGUACCCCGGACUCUGGGAUAGCUGCCCGAAAGGGCAGGUAAUACCAGAUGAUAUAACGGUCCCGCAUGGGAUUGUUCUCAAAGGUCCGCCGGUCUGGGCGCAGGCGAUAUCGUAUCAGCUAGUUGGUGAGGUAACGGCUCACCAAGGCGACGACGCGUAACCGGACUGAGAGGUCGGCCGGUCACAUCGGGACUGAGACACUGCCCGGACUCCUACGGGGGGCUGCAGUAACGAAUCUUCCGCAAUGGGCGCAAGCCUGACGGAGCGACGCCGCGUGCAGGACGAAGUCCUUCGGGAUGUAAACUGCUGUCAGGGGUUAGAAAGUUCUGAUCAACCCCCAGACGGAAGGCACGGCUAACUCUGUGCCAGCCGCCGCGGUAAUU
rnacentral:rRNA from 1 species